UUUGCUUUAAAACCGAGAGAAGAGAGAGAAUGAGAGAUUAGUUCUCUCAAAUCUUUCAUUGGGGAUGGAAUGGCCUCCCCUUUCACUCUGAGCCCUAAUCUAAAGUUCCAUUCCCCGAAAACCAACCAGAAAACCCUAGAUCUAAGAUAAUACCUCUCGGGAAAAGAUGACUCCGGUGACCUUUGGUGUUCCCGGCUGACUUUGAACCCCCGGUGGUCAUUGUUCGAGAGAUGGGCUAUGAUCGACACAGACAGCACUCGGCGGCUGGGGAGUUGAAGAGUCGGCAGCGACUAAUUUGGUAUGAAAUAGGGUUUCGAAAACCCUACAACUACUAGGUUGUCACAUGGGCUCGAGUCGGAUCCCCUUUGGGUCGGGUUGAGCUAUUGGAUCGGGUCCCAAUUGGAUUGCUGAUGUAAUCUGGGUCUGGGGCUUAAAACAGAUAGAAGGAUAUUGCUACUAACAUGUGCACAAGCUCGCCUUCAUUUCUCCAUUACAGUUUUCUGGAUUCUUUGGGCCCCAACACUGGUGGUAAGAUUGUAUCUGUUGUUUCAACAGCAUAUGAUUAGUACUCAGUUUUUGUGUUUCUUCCCUUUAGGUUUCCAAAUUAUCUUCUUGGAAGCUUGAUUCUUUGAAGUAUAAUGUUUGAAGGUGAUUUUUAUAUGUGGGUUAGUCUGAUGAUCGACAAGUGUAUCUAGGUUUGAUAUAUCCAUGCGUGCUGGGGGCAAGGAUGUUAGGAAGCACAGUGUUUCCCUGGCUUAUUGAUGCUUCGUUUUGGACUGAGGAUUGCCUAAUGUAUGCAUUUGUCACACAGUCUCUUCUUUUGUCAAUUAUAGCUUAUGAUUAUCAGAUAUGUUUGUGCUGCCCCUGUAAUUAUUUGUGAAUUUAUAAAUUAGGGACCCUAGUAUUUAUUCCAGCCAUGGCCUCAGUGUUCUUGUACAUUGGAGUUCUGGUGACCCAUUUUUCUUUAUUCCAUGCCUGCAUUGGCCUAAUUGUGCCUUCACUUGCAAGAUUGAGGACCAUGUAUGUGUCAAAUGAGUUGCGUGGAGGUAUGAUAAGCCUUUCUCUGACUCCUGCAAAUGCAGCAGUUCUGUUUCUUAUAAUACAGGUGUGUCCCUGAGUAAUUUAUGCAUCCGUGUUCAUCUGCAUGCAGAUGGGAAAUGGAAGUAUGAAACAAAAUACACCUCUGCAGCCUGCUUUCAUCUGCUGCUGUCUUAAAUUAGCUAAGAAUGACUUAGGCAUUGUGUUUUCCCUGGGGCCUAUGCGGCUAUGCUUGCCCCUAGUUUGGAUCACUUGAGGGUAGGAAAACAAGCUUGGGGAUCCCCUCAAUAAAUCUUGUGGAAAAUUUUGGAGUAUGAUAUAUGAUACUAUUUUUUUCUGAUGAACUUACUGGCUAGGUUCUUCAUGUUGCAGAGAGGAUAUUACCGGACCAUUGAGAACUCAACAAUGAUAGUUUUUACUGCAGUUGGAUUAUUCAUGGUGGCUGGUUGCAUGUAUGUUUUGAAACGGGGUGGAAAGCAACCUUAUCAAAACAGGCACAAAUUAUGAAUGUUUCGUAUCCCAGUGUUGAUGGUUUUCCUGGAGUCUGUCAAUAGUCGCUGAUUAAACUGAAGGCUUAAAGAGAAGUUACCUUUGACUUUCAAAUUACUACUUGCAUGGUAUGCCAAAAGGCUAAAAAGGAAGAACUUGUUGUCAAGUUGCAGAUUAACCAAGGUAAAGCGAUAACCUCCCAAGAUAUUAACAUGAGAAAUACAAGCAAAGAGAAUUCAGCUGGUAUCAAUGGCUUUUGAAUACCAUUGCAAGUAUUAUUCAAUAAAGUGAAUGUGUUUUACAAACAAAUUUUGUUCUGCUCUGCAAGUUCAGCUUCGAAGUAUAAGAGGAUGCAGCAGCAGCUUAAAGGUGACUCAAUGCAUCAGUUGGCCUCUGAUUGUUAAGGUAAAUUUUUUUUACAGGAAUUUAUAUUAAUAGAGUUGCAAAAGCCUCGGGCUUGAAAGAUUCACUGAGAGAAUCAUAACUUUGUUUUAUUGUCUGUUAUGUUAUCCCGAUUUUUUUAAA